UAUGUACCAUAUGAGUGCGUCGACCACAACAUGUGAUGAAAUGAUGGGGGUCGUCUCUGUCUCAUAUCCAAUUGAAAAACUAGUUAUCAAAAUU
rnacentral:sRNA from 1 species